UACGAAGGGGGCUAGCGUUGCUCGGAAUUACUGGGCGUAAAGCGCACGUAGGCGGAUCGAUCAGUCAGGGGUGAAAUCCCAGGGCUCAACCCUGGAACUGCCUUUGAUACUGUCGAUCUGGAGUAUGGAAGAGGUGAGUGGAAUUCCGAGUGUAGAGGUGAAAUUCGUAGAUAUUCGGAGGAACACCAGUGGCGAAGGCGGCUCACUGGUCCAUUACUGACGCUGAGGUGCGAAAGCGUGGGGAGCAAACAGGG
rnacentral:rRNA from 1 species